GGGCGGGGGAGAGAAGGCUUUUCUGUUUGUUUGAGAGACUUUGGACAAAAGGCCCUAUCCGUUCGGACAGAGAUUCUCCAGCACUGGAGCGGGUUGUCUCUGUAAGAGCAGAAAGUGUUACUGGGAGCAGAAAGCGUUACUGGGAGCAGAAAGCGUUACUGGGAGCAGAAAGCGCAACUACUGUGGCUGAGCGGAUGUGCGAGCUGAGCUGUUAGUAGGUGAGGUGGAGCAGUGGGAGGGGACAGGCCUCGGGAGGCCCUGGCUUCCAGCUCACGGGAUCUCCAUCGCCCCACAUGGGAUGCAGCUGGUUCUGUGCCAGGGAGCCUCAUGGGGGCCAACACAGCUCCCAAACAGGCCCAUGUCCCUGCCCGUCCUCUCCGGGGCGAGUGGGCCAGGCUGCCGGGGCGGCUGGAGGAAGGGCCCAGGGAUCCUGAGAGGCGCCGCUGAGUGUGGCCGGAGGAGCCAACCAGAACGGGGACGGCAGAGGCCCUGGUGCUGGACACUGUGUCCCCAACAGCCCUCCCUUGAGAGAGAAUCCCCACCCCCACCCCACCCACCGAGGACACCUGCCAAGGUGAGAGUAAACCGAGGAUGAGACACAGCUGCAGGGAGGACGGAUGCUGCAGGGGGGUCCCGGGACUGGUUGCCUCCCCCGGAACCCACCCUCACUCCGAAGACAGACCCGAGAGAGAGAGAGAGAGAGAGAGAGAGAGAGAGAGAGAGAGAGAGAGAGAGAGAGAGAGAGAGAGGAGGUGACCCUUGCAGGAUGCGCUCUGCUCACUGAAGUCAGUGCUCUGCAGGGCAGAUAAAUAAAUAGAGAGAGACAGGCCUGGCGAGAGUGGGGAGAGAGGUGGAGCGCACGCCCAUGCAGGGGCGGGAGAGCAGGAGAGAGAACGGGGAAAAAAGCGAGCUCAGAGACCCCGGUCCCCGGCCCCCCUCCCCUCUAACCGGACCCCGCUCGGUUCGGCAGCAGCGUGAUAAGAGAACAGACAAGUCAACAGAAAACCCAGCCUCCCGCCCGCCCUGUGGAAAAAUAUACAUUACAGCAUUUAUGUCAUCAUUUAGAUAGAAUACGUCUCCUGCACUUUGUGCAAAUAAAUUAAACGGAACUGUUUUCUGUUUUUUCUGUUUCUGUUUCUUUUUUUUCUUUUUCUU